rnacentral:rRNA from 1 species
UACAGAGGGUGCGAGCGUUAAUCGGAAUUACUGGGCGUAAAGAGCGCGCAGGCGGUCGUUCAAGUCGCGUGUGAAAGCCCCCGGCUCAACUGGGGAGGGUCACGCGAUACUGAUCGACUCGAAGGCAGGAGAGGGUAGUGGAAUUCCCGGUGUAGUGGUGAAAUGCGUAGAUAUCGGGAGGAACACCAGUGGCGAAGGCGACUACCUGGCCUGUUUCUUGACGCUGAGGCGCGAAAGCUAGGGGAGCAAACGGG